CCCGGUUCCUAACAUACCUUUGUUUCAGGCGUUUGGAGAGGUCAUAUCCAGUCGUGACAAAUCCAUGCCAGAGGGGAAGAGUACGUUAAGUAGAAAGAAAUUUAGAUUCAAGGUGAAAUCGUAAGUGAUACAUUUACAGAUUUUUCGAGUUCCAUGGUUGCGGAAGGCCUGCUUCUCCUUGAGGCCCUCCGGUGAUGGAGUCGAUGGUCCCGAUGGGAGGCCGAUCCCCGGGUUGCUCCUUCCUUCUUGGCGGUUCAGGCUGCGGAAGGGCCCUUGGUCGAUCUCCUCUACCCUCAGGCCUUCGUCGGAUGAACCUGUCGAGUCGACCUCGCCGAAUGAGCUCCUCGAUCUCGUCCCGGAGCUGGAUGCAUUCCUCUGUGUCGUGGCCGUGGUCGCGGUGGUAGAGGCAGAACUUGUUGGGGUUGCGCUUCCCGGGGUGUGUGCGCAUCCUCUCCAGCCUAGGGAGCUGCUCCCUGACCUCCAUCAGUACCUGGGCCUUCGAGGCGUUGAGGGGGGCGUAGUUGCGGAAUCUCCCUAGUGGGGAACCCCACCGAACCCCACGAUCCGGACUUCUUUGCCUGCACACCCGGGGUGGAGUAUGGGCGCGCCUG
rnacentral:lncRNA from 1 species